rnacentral:rRNA from 1 species
GGCUCAGAUUGAACGCUGGCGGCAUGCCUUACACAUGCAAGUCGAACGGUAGAGUAGCAAUACUCGAGAGUGGCGAACGGGUGAGUAAUAUAUCGGAACGUGCCCAACUGUGGGGGAUAACGUAGAGAAAUUUACGCUAAUACCGCAUACGAUCUAUGGAUGAAAGCGGGGGAUCGCAAGACCUCGCGCAGUUGGAGCGGCUGAUAUCAGAUUAGCUUGUUGGUGAGGUAAAAGCUCACCAAGGCGACGAUCUGUAGCUGGUUUGAGAGAACGACCAGCCACACUGGGACUGAGACACGGCCCAGACUCCUACGGGAGGCAGCAGUGGGGAAUUUUGGACAAUGGGCGAAAGCCUGAUCCAGCAAUGCCGCGUGCAGGAAGAAGGCCUUCGGGUUGUAAACUGCUUUUGUACGGAACGAAACGGUCUGCUUUAAUACAGUGGGCUAA